rnacentral:rRNA from 1 species
ACUCAAAUGAAUUGACGGGGACCCGCACAAGCGGUGGAGCAUGUGGUUUAAUUCGAAGCAACGCGAAGAACCUUACCAGAACUUGAAUCCAGAUGAAUACGAAGUAAAGUUUGUAGCCCUUCGGGGCAUCUGAGACAGGUGGUGCAUGGUUGUCGUCAGCUCGUGUCGUGAGAUGUUGGGUUAAGUCCCGCAACGAGCGCAACCCUUGUCUAUAGUAGCCAGCAGUAAGAUGGGAACUCUAUAGAGACUGCCAGGGAUAACCUGGAGGAAGGUGGGGAUGACGUCAAAUCAUCAUGCCCCUUAUGUUCUGGGCGACACACGUGCUACAAUGUCGUAAACAAAGGGAAGCGAACCCGCGAGGGGAAGCAAAUCUCAAAAAUAACGACCCAGUUCGGACUGUAGGCUGCAACCCGCCUGCACGAAGCUGGAAUCGCUAGUAAUCGCAGAUCAGAAUGCUGCGGUGAAUACGUUCCCGGGUCUUGUACACACCGCCCGU